CAACUGAUGAGAGGAGAGCCUAAUACUUGGCUUUUUAGGGUUUCACCUCUUUCUCUCUCAUUAGUCCCUCACUCCCCCCCUCUCUCUCUCUCUCUCCUCUCCUCCCCUCCCCGUCAUUCACCUCUUUCUCUCAUUUCGAGGAGCAACGAGCAGCGAUUGCGUUCAUCUUGAGACGAGCAACUUGACCGGCGGCUUCUUACAAGAGUUCUCAAGCGGCGUCGUUUUUGGUCGGAGGUGUAACCGGCGGUGACGGAACUCUUGCUCGAAAACCCACUGCGGUUCGACCAGGGUCCGAACCCGGUUAGCGGCGAUUGUGGCGACAUUGAGAACAACCAAGCCCAUAGGCUUCUUCCUCUUUAGAUCUAAAUCGUUGAACGAACCAAUGCUAGUGAGCAGACAAGGGUUCUGUUAACAAGUGCUGCUCAUUUCUAUUUGAGGAAAGCCGAGCUAUUUUACUCUCAGGACCUGCUGUCUUUCAAAAGGUCCACCUCAGAGACUACUCUGGAGCGUCUUUCAGGUCUAUUUGGGUCAUUUUCUGUGCUGCCUGCAAAGGAAGAACCCAAAGAUAAUAUGUUCAAAAUUUUUGAAAUUAUCGGUUAAUUUUUUGGAGACCAAUUUGUCAUUAUAUUCAUUAUACAAAAGAAUCAUAAGGUUGAAAAUUUUCACCGACAAGAGUACAGAUGUAUUAUUAUUUAAACAUAUUAGAACUUAUUAACCAUCUGGUUUGCUACAUUUGCUAUGUACAUUUGCUACAACAUAGUAUAACUGAGAAAUGCUAACAAUUAGAAGAGGAAAUCAAUGUGCAUGUACUAUCUUGCGGAAGUUGUGUUUUUGGCUGCCUUGAUCUGUAUCACACUCCUUGUGUUCCACACUCAUACGUCGAGGUCAACCUUUGUUGGGAUCUUUUGUGACGUCUUUGGGAUCAUUCUCUAUGGUGCACCUCUCACUGUUAUGAUUGGCAAUGGGGUUGGAGCCAUACUUGCCGUAGCACAACUGAUCUUUUACGCUUGCUACUAUGGGUCUACACCGAAGGAGGGGAAGCCCGUGAAGGACCCGGUGAAGCCAACAGCAUCACAAGUGCAGAUGAUUGUUUCUGCCGUCUAAAUAUGAUACUCAGUUUAAUCUAGCUGCCAUUUUAAUUUGUUCUUGUGUUGGCUAGCUUGUGUGUUUUUUGCUAGCGUAGGUAGUGAUUUUGGUUAUAGCUUAAAAACAGUAAUAUUAAUAUGGAUGAGCUUAGGAGAUUUUGAUGUUGUAAUAUGGAUGAGAUUAGGAGAUUUUGAUGUUGUAACAAAAAUUAAAA